UAAAAAAGAAGUUAUUAUAAGUUAAAUUAUUAAAAGUUAAGUUCUUAAAAAUUAAAAAAUUUGGCGGUAUUUUAGUCUUUUCAGAGGAACCUGUUCUGUAAUUGAUAGUCCACGAUUAUUUGAACUUAAAUUAGAAAUUUACAUAUCGUUGUAAAAGAAUAUUUUAAGAGAAUUUUAAUAUUCACAAUUUAUUUUUAUAAAAAAAAUCAAAUCAAGGUGUAGUUUAUAUUUAAGUAGUAAUGGGUUACAUUAAUUUAUGUUUUUGGAUUUAUAAUUUAAAAUUAUAAUGAAAUUGGAUUUGAAAGUAAUUAAUUUUAUUUAUUUUUAAUGAUUAAGCUCUAAAAUGCGU
rnacentral:rRNA from 1 species